rnacentral:tRNA from 1 species
UCCCUGGGGGUCCAGUGGUGAGGACUCUGCACUUCCAAUGCAGGGGGCGAGAGUUCAAUCCCUGGUCAGGGAA